rnacentral:rRNA from 1 species
AGUUCGGAUUGCAGGCUGCAACCCGCCUGUAUGAAGUUGGAAUCGCUAGUAAUCGCGGAUCAGCAUGCCGCGGUGAAUACGUUCCCGGGCCUUGUACACACCGCCCGUCACACCAUGAGAGUCGGGAACACCCGAAGUCCGUAGUCUAACUUUCACGAGAGGACGCGGCCGAAGGUGGGUUCGAUAAUUGGGUGAAGUCGUAACAAGGUAAC